rnacentral:rRNA from 1 species
UACGAAGGGGGCUAGCGUUGCUCGGAAUUACUGGGCGUAAAGGGCGCGUAGGCGGAUAGUUCAGUCAGAGGUGAAAGCCCAGGGCUCAACCUUGGAAUUGCCUUUGAUACUGGCUGUCUUGAGUAUGGGAGAGGUUAGCGGAACUCCGAGUGUAGAGGUGAAAUUCGUAGAUAUUCGGAAGAACACCAGUGGCGAAGGCGGCUAACUGGCCCAUUACUGACGCUGAGGCUCGAAAGCGUGGGGAGCAAACAGG